GGAACAAAUGAAGAUAUAGCGCAUAGAAAGACUUAUUCUUGGUGAUCAACUGCUAUUGACAUUUUUGAAUCGGGACAAAUGUGGAGUGAUUCGGAAGAAAAACGUUUGCAACACAUCCAUUCCAGAGUGCUGUGACACAUAAACUGACACGCUUGAUGAGGACACAGUCAAAGCUUUAAAAGACCGUGUGAUAAAGCAGUCUUCAAUUACUACGGUGUCUGAAUUGCAAGAAGAAGUGACCCUCCACUUAAACAUGUGACAUCUAAACUGUUUUGUGUUUUAGUUCAGCUUUGUAUAGGUUUAUCUUAAGUUGGUUAAAGGCGGAGUGCACUAUUUUUGAAAGCCAAUGUUAACAUUUGAAAUUACCUAAACAAACAUGCCUCUACCCCAAUAGAAUCUGGACCUUCUUUUGAUAGAGCCACCACACACAUACGCAACCCCGGCAAGGAUGUCGGUUAGUAGACACACCCCUUACUGCUGGUUGGCUACAAGUGUGUUUUGGUAGUCGGCCCAAUUUCCUUUUCCAAAGCGUUUUUCAAACAUUGUG